rnacentral:tRNA from 1 species
GCCCGGAUGGUGGAAUUGGUAGACACGCUAGUUUCAGGUACUAGUGCCGCGAGGUUUGGGAGUUCGAGUCUCCCUCCGGGCA